CCCUUAGAUGUUCUGGGCUGCACGCGCGCUACACUGAUGCAUCCAGCGAGUUGUAACCUUGCUUGGUAAAGUUUGGUAAUCUGAGCCUAAUGUGCAUCGUGAUGGGAAUAGAGUUUUGCAACUAUUAGUCUUGAACGAGGAAUUCCUCGUAAGCACGAGUCAUCAGCUUGUGCUGAUUACGUCCCUGCCCUUUGUACACACCGCCCGUCGCUCCUACCGAUUGGGUGCUCCGGUGAAGCGCUCGGACCGCGGCCUCUUGACGGUUUUCCGUCGAUUGGCUGUGGGAAGUUCGUUAAACCUUAUCAUUUAGAGGAAGGAGAAGUCGUAACA
rnacentral:rRNA from 1 species